GCUGGGUGUGGUGGUGGACGCCUGUAAUCCCAGCUACUUGGGAGGCUGAGACAGGAGAAUCACUUGAACCCAGGAGGCAGAGGCUGCAGUGAGCCAGGAUUGCUCCACUACACCCCAGCCUGGGCGACAGAGUGAGACCCUGUCUCGA
rnacentral:SRP_RNA from 1 species